GACGAACGCUGGCGGCGUGCUUAACACAUGCAAGUCGAACGGAAAGGCCCUGCUUUUGUGGGGUGCUCGAGUGGCGAACGGGUGAGUAACACGUGAGUAACCUGCCCUUGACUUUGGGAUAACUUCAGGAAACUGGGGCUAAUACCGGAUAGGAGCUCCUGCUGCAUGGUGGGGGUUGGAAAGUUUCGGCGGUUGGGGAUGGACUCGCGGCUUAUCAGCUUGUUGGUGGGGUAGUGGCUUACCAAGGCUUUGACGGGUAGCCGGCCUGAGAGGGUGACCGGCCCCAUUGGGCCUGCGAUACGGCCCAGACUCCUACGGGAGGCAGCAGUGGGGAGUAUUUCACAAUGGGCGGAAGCCUGAUGCAGCAACGCCGCGUGCGGGAUGACGGCCUUCGGGUUGUAAACCGCUUUCGCCUGUGACGAAGCGUGAGUGACGGUAAUGGGUAAAGAAGCACCGGCUAACUACGUG
rnacentral:rRNA from 1 species